rnacentral:RNase_P_RNA from 1 species
UGGGCCGACCGGGCGACCGCGUCGCACCUCCGGGUGCGCCGAGGAAGGUCCGGGCUCCACAGGGCGAGGUGGUGGGUAACACCCACCCGGGGCAACCUGCGGGACAGUGCCACAGAGAACAGACAGCCUCCCGCCGAGCGAUCGGCGGGCGGUGAUGGUGAAACGGUGGUGCAAGAGACCACCAGCGACCGGGGUGACCCGGUCGGCUCGGCAAACCCCACCUGGAGCAAGGUCAAGAAGUCACUUCGGUGGCGCGCGUGCGUUCGAGGGCUGCCCGCCCGAGCACGCGGGUAGACCGCUGGAGGUCGUCGGCAACGGCGACCGUAGAUGGAUGGUCGCCCCCGAUCCCGCGAGGGAGAGGGACAGAACCCGGCCUACAGGUCGGCCCAUCCG